GUGCGCCAUAAUGGCACCCGGAUGCCUCGUCCGAACAGAUCAGACAAGCUCUCUGUGGCGGGUAGAAGAACUCCAUGGGGAUCAUGUGCUCUCUGCCGGUCUCAAACCUUCAGUCCGCCACAGAAGAAAAUACGGUCUCGGGUGGCUAGACCUGAGCUGACCUGGUGAAGAGAAGAUUACAGCCCAACUGGUCGCCAGUCAAUGAAAGGCAGUGGAAAAAAGGGGAGUCAUUUGCCUUCCCCACAUUACCAACAGUACUGGAAUAACGGAAAACACGCCAGCAGACGCCACAGCAGAAAUGUUCAUGUGGGCCCACAAUGUGGUGAGCGAGAGCAUGCAGCAGCGAAAGGAGGCCGUCCAGGGUUGUCGUCAGCUGGGAUGGGCUCCAGAUCUCCGUAACGUCCACAAUCCAUUUGCUGCUGAUAAGGGAUGAAAGGUGCUGUGAGGUAAACAAGAAUCUGACGGCAAGGGGAGGUGGCACGGCCGACUGUAAAGCUCUGCGUCUGGCGACAUGACAUCACAAGACAUUGGCACAUCAGAGUGAAGGUGGGCUUCAUCGUCAG